UCACGACGCCGCCAGCUGAUCGGAGACUGGAGCCGGUGUGUGCUGGGCGCUGGGAAGAGACAGCGCCGCCGGCCGUGGGGAUCGGACGCACUGAUUCGCUCCCCUGCUCUCAGCACCCCCUCCACCCAGCACCAGGAAGCUGUACCUCACAUAUCCUCUCCUGGCUGAGCCGCAGUAGUUCUUCAGUGGCAAGCUUUAUGUCCUGACCCAGCUAAAGCUGCCAGUUGAAGAACUGUUGCCCUCUGCCCCUGGCUUCGAGGAGGAAGAGGAGAUGGAGCUGCUUUCCUCUUCAUCUGGAAGAUGGAGUACCACGCAGCCAUUAAAAUCACGUAGAAGAACAUUUGACUGGAAAGAAAAAUGCUCUUUGAGGAGUUCCCGUCGUGGCUCAACAGAAAGAAAUCUGACUAGCAACCAUGAGGAUGCAGGUUCAAUCCCUGGCCUUGCUACUGGGUUAAGGAUCCAGUGUUGACAUGAGCUGUGGUGCAGCUUGCAGAUGCAGCUUGAAUCAAAGAAAAGUGCUCUUUGGAAAAUGAAAAGGUGUAUUACGUGAUUUCAGUUUCCCUGGCCUCGCUACUGGGUUAAGGAUCCAGUGUUGACAUGAGCUGUGGUGCAGCUUGCAGAUGCAGCUUGAAUCAAAGAAAAGUGCUCUUUGGAAAAUGGAAAGGUGUAUUACGUGAUUUCAGUUUCUUUUUUUUUUUAAUAUGAGUGUACCCCUGAAUGUGUAAAAGAGUUAAAAGACCGAGGACAUACUCCAAAUUGUUACUAAUAGUGGUUCUCUUUGGAUGGUGGAAUAAAGUGAUUGUAAUUUUACUCUCUGGCUUUUCUGUAAUUGCCAAAUUUUCAACAUUAAUUGUGUGUGGCUUUCCUAUAAUAAAUACAGAUUAAAA
rnacentral:lncRNA from 1 species